UCUCGUUACAUCACCAAAGUCAAGCAUCAUUGGCGCGGUCAGUACUUGGGUGGGUGACCACCUGGGAACAACGCGUGCCGUU